rnacentral:rRNA from 1 species
GACGAACGCUGGCGGCGUGCUUAACACAUGCAAGUCGAACGGAAAGGCCCUGCUUUUGUGGGGUGCUCGAGUGGCGAACGGGUGAGUAACACGUGAGUAACCUGCCCUUGACUUUGGGAUAACUUCAGGAAACUGGGGCUAAUACCGGAAAGGAGCUCCUGCUGCAUGGUGGGGGUUGGAAAGUUUCGGCGGUGGGGGAUGGACUCGCGGCUUAUCAGCUUGUUGGUGGGGUAGUGGUUUACCAAGGCUUUGAAGGGUAGCCGGCAUGGGAAGGUGACUGGCCACAUCGAGACUAAAUAACGGCCCAGCCUCCAACGGGAGGCAGCAGGGGAGAAUAUUGCACAAUGGGCGGAAGCCUGAUACAACAACGCCGCGUGCGGGAUGACGGCCUUCGGGUAGUAAACCGCUUUCGCUUGUGACGAAGCGUGAGUGACGGUAAUGGGUAAAGAAGCACCGGCUAACUCCGUG